rnacentral:rRNA from 1 species
AUGAACGCUGGCGGCGUGCCUAAUACCUGCAAGUCGCGCGAACAGACGAGGAGCUUGCUCCUCUGACGUUAGCGGCGGACGGGUGAGUAACACGUGGAUAACCUACCUAUAAGACUGGGAUAACUUCGGGAAACCGGAGCUAAUACCGGAUAAUAUAUUGAACCGCAUGGUUCAAUAGUGAAAGACGGUUUUGCUGUCACUUAUAGAUGGAUCCGCGCCGCAUUAGCUAGUUGGUAAGGUAACGGCUUACCAAGGCAACGAUGCGUAGCCGACCUGAGAGGGUGAUCGGCCACACUGGAACUGAGACACGGUCCAGACUCCUACGGGAGGCAGCAGUAGGGAAUCUUCCGCAAUGGGCGAAAGCCUGACGGAGCAACGCCGCGUGAGUGAUGAAGGUCUUCGGAUCGUAAAACUCUGUUAUUAGGGAAGAACAAAUGUGUAAGUAACUAUGCACGUCUUGACGGUACCUAAUCAGAAAGCCACGGUUAACUACGUG